UGCCCAGAGUCGGAAGGAAAGAAACAUCGCCAGAGUUUGAGCAGCCAAGGUGGGUCCUCCCUACUAGGCAAGAGAACUGCUGGAGUGGAGGGGAGAGAGGCGUGAGGAGGAGGUGGCGGCGGAACUCGUGAGAGGCGCGCGGAGGGGAGGCUGAGAAAAACCACGAGCUUUUGAAUUCGUGGAGUAAGGAGGGAUAAAGCCCUAAUGAACUGCAAGCAAUAUUUCAGGUUGUGGAUUGUGAAAGCAGAGAAUGGAGAAGAGGAAAGCUAAAAAGAAAAGAACAAAUUAGCUACUAAUUUUGGAGUAUCUUCUGCAUGCUCAAAGCCAUGCUGAAGAAGGUUCUUCACAUUCAGUAGGUCAAGAAAAUGAGACUCAGGAUAAUAACUUCUUCAAGCUCACAUAACUAAUAAGUGAUGAGGAUAGAAUGGCAUCUGGGUCUUUUGGAUUCCUUAAGCCUCUGCUUUGGAGAAAAAGAGGAACACAGAAGAUAAGACAGUGAGAGAAAAAGAAAGAACUCUGCGAUUCCCUGUGUGUGCCCAGAAGUUGGGAGGCAGAGCUACCAGCGGGAUCAGACAGCAUUUCAGACUGGCUGGGUAAUAUCUUGUGACUAUAUCAGCACAAAUAUCAUUUCAGCAUCUGUUGCUAAAAUUUGCAGGUAGUGUAGUCAAGUCUUCAUUUUGUCUGAUUCUGAUUUCAGCUUUAUAGGGUCCCCCAAACUGUCAUCCAGCAAUAAAUUCCAUUUUGAUGUCUUUUGCUGCCAAAGAGAGAGAUUAAAUCCUUCAGAGAUUCUGGGGAGUGGAAGUACCUUGGCCAACCUCGGUUGACCUUUCGUGUCCACAUGUAGAUCCAAAUCCAAAUCUUUGUAUGUUCAGAGCUUAGAGAAAACAUACUCUCAAUUUUAGCUUGGCUGUAGCUUAAACCCUGAAGAUCAGCAUGAAUUUUUGAAAAUGUCUUUGGGUGAUGACCUAUGAGUAAAUAAAUGGUGGAGUAAUACAUUUUUUAACUCAAUUAUAGGUUGUGACAGUUCACUGGAUCCUGAGGUUUUCUGGUAUUUUGCUUGUGGUUCUAAGUGAUGUUGCUGGAAGUGUGGCCGAUUCCCUGUGAAGCAGACCCUGACAUAGAGAUUAGCAUGUAGGAUAGUUACUAAGGGGGGCUUUUGGAUUGACACCUGUGAAAGGAAAGAAACAGAAGCAGGAUUGGAUGGAGAGGUAAGUCAUUCUGUGAUACA